GUUGCACCAUAUGGUAAGAUUACAUGUAUAAGAUCAGAUAAUGGAACAGAAUUUACAUCUUCCGUAUUUCAGUCAUUGCUCAGCAAGAAUGCUAUUAGACAUGAAACCUCAGCUCCUUAUUCACCCCAUCAAAAUGGGACAGCUGAAAGAGCUUGGAGGACUUUGUUUGAAAUGGCAAGAUGUAUGCUAAUUGAGAGUAAAUUACCAAAGGAGUUGUGGACAUAUGCGGUACAAACCGCUGCUAUAAUUAGAAACAGAUGUUAUAAAAGACGUCUGGGACAAACUCCAUACUACCUGAUAACUGGAAAAAAGCCUGAUCUAUCCAAAAUGAGAGUGUUUGGGUUAGAGUGUUAUGCGUACAAGUAUGACAAGAAAAAGUUGGAUGCGCGAUGUGACAAGGGUAUAUUUGUUGGUUAUGACAAAAAUAGCCCUGCUUAUCUUGUUUUCUAUCCAGACACAGGGAGAGUACUUAAGAGUAGACUGGUGAAGUUUGUCACAAAAAGUACAAAUGAAAGGGAUACUCAGACAGUGGAGGAUGUGGAUGAAUAUUUGGAAUACCGGAAGGAGGUUGAAACCUUAGUACCAAAACUAGACAGGACUAAAGUAAUUCCACAAGAAAUGAAAGUUGAGGGUGAAGUCAGUACAAAGAGUGAAAAAGAGAGUGAUCUAGGUACUAGAUAUCCAAAAAGAGAAAGAAGACCCCCUCAGUACUUUGCAGACUAUGAUUAUGAAGUUAAAGAUGAUGCAGAUCAGCCAUUGACUAUUGACUAUUGCUAUCGUGUUGCAUGUGAUGCUCCCCGGACACUGAAGGAAGCCUUGGGCUCUUUAAAAUCAGAGCAGUGGGUUGAAGCUAUGGAGGAUGAGAUGAACUCUCUGAAAGAGAAUAAUACUUUCACAUUAACAACCCUACCAGAAGGUAAACAGGCAGUAGGGGGAAGAUGGGUUUAUGCUAUAAAGGAAAAUCCUGAUGGGAGAGUAUAUAAAGCCAGGUAUGUAGCAAAGGGUUAUAGUCAAGUGGCAGGUAUUGAUUAUAAUGAGAUAUUUUCACCUACUGCCGAUAUAACUUCAGUACGUGUUUUGAUGCAGCUUGCAGCACAAUAUAAUUUGAAUUUACAUCAGAUGGAUGUUAAAACUGCAUAUCUGCAUGCUCCUAUAGAUUGUGAAAUUUAUAUGAAGCAACCUGAAGGAUUUGAAGUUGAGUCAAAAACAGGAGAAGAAUUGGUAUGUAAGCUCAAUAAAUCACUGUAUGGUCUGAA
ensembl:lncRNA